UACGUAGGGUGCAAGCGUUGUCCGGAAUUAUUGGGCGUAAGGAGCUUGUAGGCGGUUUGUCGCGUCUGCUGUGAAAUUUCGGGGCUCAACCCCGAACUUGCAGUGGGUACGGGCAGACUAGAGUGUGGUAGGGGAGACUGGAAUUCCUGGUGUAGCGGUGAAAUGCGCAGAUAUCAGGAGGAACACCGGUGGCGAAGGCGGGUCUCUGGGCCGUAACUGACGCUGAGGAGCGAAAGCGUGGGGAGCGAACAGG
rnacentral:rRNA from 1 species